CACAGCGUGUAUCCGCAGAAACGGGGGACUCAUCAGUCCGUUUGAAAGCCAGGCGCUGCUUCCGCUUCUAAGGCAGACCGGCUUACCGGAAGUGCAACAAGGCUGCAAGCACGUGAGAACUAGACAAGAAACGGGGUCUGGGACCGGAGAAGUUAUUUAUUUUGCUGCUUCUGAUUCUUUCCCUCGUGAUGGAAAUAAGGGGAAGAAAGACCCUAUUCCGGCCAUCUAGGUUGCGGACAAAAGGGAAGGGAGGAAGGAAGCGAGAAUACUUUUUCUAAGACCCUUCUUUUCUACCUCAAGAGGACAUCGGAGAGGAAAGGAAGAUGUUUGAAAAUCAUAGGAGGAUAUGUGAGCCAAUUGGUAUGCUGUGGAUAAUGUAACAUGACAAGAGCCACAUGUUCAACCAGCCUAUAACUCCCCAUCUUCUCACGCCUUUCCCUAUUUUCCCUUGACCACUGCUAAUGUCUAUGGCAGAAGGGUAUUAUGUCUUUAAGGCUCAUUGUUAGCAGAUGCCUCUUAGCUGAAUAAACAUGAUUUAAGUUCUACACA